rnacentral:rRNA from 1 species
AUGGCGGCUGGGAAGGAAAGGCUAGAUGUGUUUUGGAAGGGAAGCUCUGAUUACCAUGUGAAAUUACCCCUCAACAACCAAAUCACCGAGAAGCUUACCCGUGAAAACUUCCUUCUGUGGAAGACCCAACUCCUUCCCCAGAUACGUGGAGCCUCCCUCUUUGGAUACCUAGAUGGAUCCAUUGCCGAGCCUGAGAAAACCAUCACCACCACCGACAAAGAUGGCAAGGCUACGAGCAUCCCCAACCCGGCGCACGUGGCCUGGGUUACCCAGGACCAGCAAGUGCUCGCCUACCUCCUGACCUCGAUCACGAGGGAGGUACUAACGCAGAUGGUCGUCGUGGAGACGGCGCACGCGGCAUGGACCGCUCUGAUGAACAUGUUUUCGUCACACUCCCGCUCCCGCAUCAACAACCUUCGGAUCUCCCUCUCCAACGCCGAGAAGGGGACCCAGUCAGUCGCGGUCUACUUCGCCAAGAUGAGAUCGUUAGCUGAUGAGCUGGCGGCUGCCACAAACCACUUGGCGAAGAUGAACUGA